AGUGUAGGCGGCUUCGUAAGUCGGAUGUGAAAGCCCCGGGCUUAACCUGGGAAUUGCAUUCGAUACUGCGCGGCUAGAGUCUGAUAGAGGGAAGUGGAAUUCCAGGUGUAGCGGUGAAAUGCGUAGAUAUCUGGAGGAACACCAGCGGCGAAGGCGGCUUCCUGGAUCAAGACUGACGCUGAGGCUCGAAAGCGUGGGGAGCAAACA
rnacentral:rRNA from 1 species